rnacentral:piRNA from 1 species
UAAAAUGCCACCUGCGGGCAGGAGGUG